UAUAAUUUUUUAUUGUUCGUUUUGUCACUAUGUGAUUAAAAAGAAACAACAACAACAACAGCCAAACACAAUGUGAAAAUGUUGAUCCCUCGGAAACUUUUUACUUCUCGAAGCUCUGACAAGCUUUUCUGACCAAGCAAAAACCCGAUGAUUCUUGAACCAAAAGUAAAGGUGGGGGGACUAGCCAGAUUCACCCACGUGGGGAAAGCUGGAGGUACCAUACCAACUAGAGGUCGGGUGUUCUGUUCCACUUAUUUCAUUAGUACAGAAAGGGAUACUUCUCAGAAACCACGUCAUGUCUUCCAGAUACAUGCCAACCUCCAAAUGGCUGUUCAUAUCCUACCAUUAGGGUUCUGCAGUUUGUAAACCAUUGUUGGUAAAACAUUAGAUUGAAUUGAAAAGUACCUAAUGGAGCCGCCCAUAGAUAAACCUGGGUGCUAGCAUAUGUUUGUGAUAUUUGAGCUAGGUUUGAGUGUCAUGGGUUCAAAACACACUAGGUGCGUGUGUAAUUUACUGAAAAAGAAAGAGAAAAAAAUGAAAGGGUUCAUGCCUGACCA